rnacentral:lncRNA from 1 species
GACAACACAGUGAAUUUCUUGCGGAGAAAGCUUUAUUUCAGUAACGUUGAUACUCACUUCAUUCCAUAACACUAGUAACCCACCUACGAGACCAUUGGCCGGCACUUGUGACAUUUAGUAAAAUUGAAGUCCUCGCGAAGCCUAGUGUGAUCCUGCAUGUGAGUUUGUAGUAAAAUGGCUAAUACUGGCCUGUGGUUAUCUAAG